GAUCCUGUAGUAUACAACAGAUAGAAUACAGUAAACUGCAACUUUACCGAGGCUGACAAGCCAGGAUCUC
rnacentral:tRNA from 1 species